CACAACUCGCACACAAGCACGUACAAUGACUUUGUCAAUCACGCACUGAUGUACAGUCGCUCCCACAGGCUCGUCACGGGAACACACACCAAGUCAUACGUGUAAAUCCACCGCCAGGCGAGAGGAUGUGUGCGAUUCGAAAUCACCGCUGGUCGCACGGUUUUAUCCUCGGAUAACCCCUCUGAUAUCCUGCGGGAUUAAAACACUUCAAAACAAAAACUGAUGUAGCGUUCAUCUGUACCACGACUUCAAAAGGAGCUGCUCCACAUCCCUGAUUCACCAUCAUAAGGCUGUUUGUGUCUCUGAGAGAGAGAGAGAGCGCUGAUUUUUAGGUGGAAACCAGCACAGACAGUGUUACUGUAUCAGGUGUGUGCACAAUUCUUGUUUUUUAUUGCGUGCAAAAUCUGUUCUCUCUUUCUAAGGGAAAUAACUGUACAUUUAUGGCACACAUCAGAUGCGACAUAUCGAAGAAAACACGUCUAGAAUAAGAGAUGCACACUCAAAUGUAGGGGAAUGUCGUGAAGUGGAGGAAAAAGAAAGAGUGAGCUGCAGUAAUAGAGAAGAAGAUGUGACAUUUGAGGCUGCAAGGCAUCCCCAAACCAACAUGCACCAAAAUAACCAAGAAGUAGAGUUAACGUUUCUUUUUAUAUACAGAAAUAGAGGGAUUGAAGCAGGAAGAGCAUACUUCCUUCUGUAUGUGCAAAAAAAAGCCAAGGCAGGUAGAGCUUGAUUUUGUGGCCUGAAUGAACUAAUGUUGCCCUGAAUUUGUCCUGAUAUCUUUGAAUGAAGCUUUACUAGAAUUUUUGCCAAAAUAAUUCAGGCUCUAAAUCUUUAAAAAAGGCGGCAGGAGUGAAAUGAACCAGUCUUAAGAGUUGGAAGUUUUCUUAAAUGGUUAUUCGGAGGUUACAAGACAUCUCUAAACCAACAUACUGUAUACACAAAGUGGAAGAAGAGAUGAUGUUUGUUUCUCUUUAAUCAAAAAAUAAAGUGAAACAAGUGAGAGAUUAUCCUACAAAUGACCUGAGCUUUAGUUAGCUUUAGUUUUUUCAAAGUCUAAAUGAAGAACAAAAACAAAAUCAAGUCUUAGGAUAGUCUGCGAAAAGGUCUUUGCACCUGUUACUAAGUCACUAACUUUUUUAAGUUCUGCACAGUCGUGUGUAUAAAUAAUUUAGAGGCUGCCUAGAAUCAAGGGAAAUAGGAAGGUAUUUUACUGACUAUCUGUCGAGAAUAAAUCAAUUCAGGUUAAACUCCGUCUUCUCUACAAGUUGGCAACCUAAUUUGGGUCCCGGUCCUUAGUUUGGGAAAGGCUACAUGACCAUAAAAACGAGGCAGGACCUGUCUUGUUGCUCUAAAAAAAUACUGAACGUAUCUCUUCUCCCUUUGCUCGUCAUGAAACUCCUCCAAAUCCGAUGAAACCUGUCCAAGUCUGUGUUUGUAAGAGACGAAGAGUGGAGCUCCCUGGCUGCCCUUUUCCUCCGUCACACAGCAGUCCGCUGUCUGAUGUGGAGAUAACUGAGAGGAAGCGACCGCUUUGAUCCCUAAUGGGGCCGUGUCGGCUGUGUGGAAAUGACAUUCAUGGCUCGUAUUUACACAAGCACAAUUAUGGAGGUUUAUUUUGGUGAGAGACAAUCAAUUAGAGUGAAACUAUGUCAGCGAUAACGCAGAUUAAAGGAGAGGGUUAGAGCUGGAGAAGGUGAAGAGGAGGAAAACAAGGGUCUGCUGAAACAGGACAGAGGGAACCUUCACUUCGAGUCUUUAACUCUGAAGACUCGGUCUGUUUACAGCUCCUGAGAGGAGGCUUCAGAUGAGCGGGUGUGAUGUCUCUAUAUGACCUACAAAAGGAAACAAGACCAUGGACAGGAAGCUGGAGUGGACAUUUUUAACUCAUUCAGUGCCAGGUUCAUUUAUGCAGUUUUCACCCAGUGACACCGUUGGCCGCAAUAGAAAUGUAUGUAUCUUUCAGGAGCCACAGAAUAUCCUUUGCUUUGACGAGAAUUAAGUGCGAUAUCUCAAAAGAAAGAGGUGGUUCUCUCCUUUCACCAGAAAAAAAAUUAGUCUCUAACCCACUCCUGUGUUUAGUUAUUGCCUGCUCCAUGCAGCGUGGUCAUAUCAUCUUUGCUGAUCUGGAAAAACACAUUUUUAUGAAGGAGAGACUUUGAAGUUACUUCUUCAAACUACUUAACCGGUGGCAUCAAGGUCCUCCCUCCUCGGACACCACUCCUCACCUCUCGAGAUCUGAUUGUGAUAGGUUACACUAAGAUGGCUGGGAGUCAUAUUGGCUCUCGAGAACCUGACUCCGCGACGUAAACCACACGGACUGCCCACGUCCUUCUUGUCGCUGAAUUCCAGCUCAGUCUCGCUCACCAGUACCGACACCGGCCUCACAACGACAUGCCAGAAAAUUGUUUCUUUGAUUGUUUGCUGAGGAUGUUGAAGGUCCGGAACCAGGAUCUUCAUUGGAUCCAGAGACAGAAGCACCUCACCCACUGGAGCUGAUGCGCCGAGACCGUUUACUCUUGGCGAAUGACUUUGGCAUUUUCCUACUCUCCUGAGAAAAAACACUCCACAACCCGGCUAAUUGAUUAUGACAUAUUUGUCGGCUUUUCUGCGUUCAGAACAACCCCAAACUUCGUCGCAUGUUGGGGAGGAGCGCCCUCUGGUGGAAAACAAAAAAACAGAAAAAUCCUCCAUAUCCAUCACUGGCACUGAAUGAGUUAACACCUGCUGCUGCUGCCAGGUUGGUUUUAGACCGAGACCGACUGAACAAACCACGAUAUACAGAAACAACACGAAUGCAUGAACAGGACAAGACCAGCAACAGACAAGAGCACACCUCCUCUUUGAUUCAUGAGCUGAGGCAGGGAGAGCAGCAGCAAAGACCCGAGCAGGACAGGACAGAGACUCAGGAGGGGGCUGAACUAGUCGAGGGCAGUAUCUACAAAGAUGAGGAUGGGAGUGAGGAGGACUUGUUCAGGUAUGGCAGGGGUGGGCAAUCAUGUGCCAUGGACCAGGUGAUUUCACUGAUUACCUCCAAGCAGAGAGCAGGGACUGAUCAGUGAAACCACCUGGUGGAGUUUUGGGUUGGAAAGAAAACCUGCAGUCUCUCUGCCCUCCAUGGCACAUGAUUGCCCACCCCUGACGUAUGGUGCUAAGAGUCCUGAAAUGUCCUUAAGGUGGAGUCCAAAGUGUAAAACUCACACCCACAUGUACGUCUGUCUUGUAGGUUGUAACAGUUAUGAAUCCUCUGUGCACUCCUUCCAGAAACAACAGACUCUACAAAGACCUCAUGCUGGAAGACUAAAUUCCUGUUUCUCAGAAGUCGCUCCAACUGUCCGCUCUGUUUUUGUCUCUCUUUUGUGUUUUUCUCUCUCUCUCUCUCUCUCUCUCUCUCUCUCUCUUUCUUUCUGCCCAGGCAGCAGAAUCAGCACAUCAAAUAAAUACAGAGAGCGGUAUAGAGUUUCGUUUGGAGACGGCACAACAGGUCAGGGACAACGGGAACACAUGGAAGUGCGUGACCUGCGGGUGUUAAAAGACUUCAAUCCCAGUCUGUAAAAGUACGAGUCGGGCUCUCUUUGAAAUCAAAUCGGAUUUUUAAGAUUUAAUGUCUCCUUAAAAAACUGUUUCCAGACGGAUUCUUUUGAAAUGAUCACUUUCCAAGCCCAUGCAUUCCUCACCUACCGAAACACAAAAUACCAGAGGAUGGGGGCUCAUUACAAAGCCCAUCCUCGCUCCACCAAAUGUUAUUAUCACCAUAAACCCGCCGCACUCUGGAGACGUCGAUGGAGACACG